rnacentral:rRNA from 1 species
UACAGGGGGAUGUGGCAGCGAUGUCACAGACUGGAAACAGUACCCUGUACAGGUGCUGCAUGGGCUGUCGUCAGCUCGUGCCGUGAGGUGUUGGGUUAAGUCCCCGCAACGAGCGCAACCCCUACUGCCAGUUACUAACAGGUAACGCUGAGGACUCUGGCGGAACUGCCGGUGACAAACCGGAGGAAGGUGGGGAUGACGUCAAGUCAUCAUGGCCCCCUAUGUCCAGGGCUACACACGUGCUACAAUGGGCGAUACAGAGUGACGCGAAGCCGCGAGGUGGAGCAAAUCGCAGAAAAUCGCUCUCAGUUCGGAUUGGAGUCUGAAACCCGACUCCAUGAAGGUGGAAUCGCUAGUAAUCGCGCAUCAGCAUGGCGCGGUGAAUACGUUCCCGGGCCUU